GCUUUGGGAAGCUAAAUGGCUAAAUAUUGCGUUUGACGCAAUAAUAACUUCUGAAGAAGAGCAUCUCUGGUGUGCCUACUACUAUAUUAUGCAAAGGCUUCUUAUACUGUUUACAAUCCCUGAACAUGUGUUAAAUAAAAAUUUAAUUCUGGAGUUUGAAAGGAAAAUGAACCACUGUUUGUGCAUUUGCAUUCUUUGUGUCCAAGCCUUCCUGGGCUCUAUUGAUCUGUACAAACUUGAGUACUCUGGUUUAGCCUUACACAAAUUUGUAACUUUGAUUUUACAAAAAACCCAAAGUCGAC